GUCGACACCGGAAAAUGAAGAAAGCUGGAGUUUGAAAUAAAUCUUCAUUACUAUGUUAAGUGUGAUCUCUUUCAUUUCUGUAUGUUUGAUUUACUGUAUUUUCAUUUCAACGUUAUUUCUGAGUAUGUAUGUUGUGAGAAUAAUAAAACUAAUUCCAGCUGAACUUGUCAUGUUUUGGACAAACUAAAUCCUUGUACUAUAUAUUUCUGGAUUUGAAUAUCACUACUAG
rnacentral:lncRNA from 1 species